GUAUUUUCUACACGUCAGACUCAUCUUUCCUCUUUGUCCAGCGGCUCGCCACCUGUGAACACAGAAACACGUUUCAUGAAGGGGUGGACGCCGGCCCCGCCGCCGAGACGAGCUGUCGUCAUGUCGGGCAACACCGCGAAAAUGUGACCCCUUCCUGUUUCCUCAAAUGCCGGGAUCAGAUCGGCGGCUCGACGGAACGCCAGAUCCUCGGCUUUCUCGCGGUGGAGUACAAACCGCGGCUCUUGCUGUACUGGCUGAUGGAGGCAUGUGUCUUCGGCAAUGGUGGAAGGUUGGUCGUCCAGCGCCAUGAUGGAAUUGUGGGUCGUGCAACGUCAUCAUUUCUAAUACUGGCAUGAAAAAAAAAAUCACAGCUUCUCAGUUGUCUGGAGACAGCAGCUUGACUGACCGUCACACCGUCAGAGACGUUGAGAAGAACUGCUUUGUGUCAGCACAAGGCUUCCGAAGACACCCAGACUUCUGUUGGAGUUUUAGUCCAAACGGUGGUGGAGGCAAGUCAACUCAUUCCAAUACUGAUGGUGACCUGCAGCUAGAAAACCCAUUUUUUGCCUUUCUAUGUUAAAAGUCAUGUUGGAUAGAGACAUUAAAAAACAUACCUGAGGCGGUGACACACGUCUCAUGACAAAAUGUGCACAAAGAGAAUAGCCAAGCCGAUGUUGAGCAGGAUUACCAUGCAGAUCAUGAUGGUGUUGGGGCUCUUGUGAAGGAAAGAACAUCAAAAAUAAGUGCAGUAGGUUUAUGACAGUCUGAAAAACCUAAAAGAAGUAACUUCUAACUAAGGCUGGUCAAUUAAUUUUUUCAUAUAAUCCGACCUUGAUUAAUAUCCAUGUUUUUUUUAACCUCCCAGUUUUAAACCAUUUCUUCAACAAAAAAAAAACGCACGAAACAAGGGAAUAGUUUUCAGAUUUUUACAUAUAUUGAGUGAAUAACAAGGCAAACUAAUGCAAUGAACAUAGAACAAUAUUUGAAAUGUUGACUCAACAGUAAAAAAAGUGUAAAAAACCCCAAAAUAGAACUAUUUUAGAGUCUGACUCCUGAGUGUUUGUGCAGGGAUGCAAGAACCAAAAUAAACAAAUUGCCACGUCGGGGAUAAUAAAGCCUUUUGGAAAUGUUAACAAUGCUAUUUUUAAAUUAUGACGCUACAUGUGCUGUUAACAUAAUUGCUACCUGCAAAUGUGCAUCAUCUUUAAUAACAAUACAGAAUAGCUAGUUUCAAGUUAAAAUAAUGGUCCGAUGGCCGAUUAGCAUCGGAAUAAUGCUACGUGAGCUGUAAACAGUAGCAAGCUGCAAAUAUGCUCGUAUUUUAACAAUUUUAGUAUAAUCUCUUGUGUGGU